UAUGCUUGUCUCAAAGAUUAAGCCAUGCAUGUCUAAGUAUAAGCAAUUAUACAGCGAAACUGCGAAUGGCUCAUUAUAUAAGUUAUCGUUUAUUUGAUAGUACCUUACUACUUGGACAACCGUGGUAAUUCUAGAGCUAAUACAUGCUGAAAAUCCCGACUUCGGAAGGGAUGUAUUUAUUAGAUUAAAAACCAAUGCCCUCUGGGCUCCUUGGUGAUUCAUAAUAACUUUUCGAAUCGCACGGCCUUGCGCCGGCGAUGGUUCAUUCAAAUUUCUUCCCUAUCAACUUUCGAUGUUUGGGUAUUGGCCAAACAUGGUCGCAACGGGUAACGGAGGGUUAGGGCUCGACCCCGGAGAAGGAGCCUGAGAAACGGCUACUACAUCCAAGGAAGGCAGCAGGCGCGCAAAUUACCCAAUCCCGAUUCGGGGAGGUAGUGACAAUAAAUACUGAUACAGGGCUCUUUUGGGUCUUGUAAUUGGAAUGAGUACAAUUUAAAUCUCUUAACGAGGAACAAUUGGAGGGCAAGUCUGGUGCCAGCAGCCGCGGUAAUUCCAGCUCCAAUAGCGUAUAUUAAAGUUGUUGUGGUUAAAAAGCUCGUAGUUGAACCUUGGGCCUGGCUGGCCGGUCCGCCUCACCGCGUGUACUGGUCCGGCCGGGCCUUUCCCUCUGUGGAACCUCAUGCCCUUCACUGGGUGUGGCGGGGAAACAGGACUUUUACUUUGAAAAAAUUAGAGUGCUCCAGGCAGGCCUAUGCUCGAAUACAUUAGCAUGGAAUAAUAAAAUAGGACGUGUGGUUCUAUUUUGUUGGUUUCUAGGACCGCCGUAAUGAUUAAUAGGGACAGUCGGGGGCAUCAGUAUUCAAUUGUCAGAGGUGAAAUUCUUGGAUUUAUUGAAGACUAACUACUGCGAAAGCAUUUGCCAAGGAUGUUUUCAUUAAUCAGGAACGAAAGUUAGGGGAUCGAAGACGAUCAGAUACCGUCGUAGUCUUAACCAUAAACUAUGCCGACUAGGGAUCGGACGAUGUUAUUUUUUGACGCGUUCGGCACCUUACGAGAAAUCAAAGUGCUUGGGCUCCAGGGGGA
rnacentral:rRNA from 1 species